rnacentral:rRNA from 1 species
CUACGGGUGGCAGCAGUGGGGAAUAUUGCACAAUGGAGGAAACUCUGAUGCAGCGACGCCGCGUGAGUGAAGAAGUAUUUCGGUAUGUAAAGCUCUAUCAGCAGGGAAGAUAGUGACGGUACCUGACUAAGAAGCACCGGCUAAAUACGUGCCAGCAGGCCGCGGUAAUACGUAUGGUGCAAGCGUUAUCCGGAUUUACUGGGUGUAAAGGGAGUGUAGGUGGUCUGACAAGUCAGAGGUGAAAGCCCGGGGCUCAACCCCGGGACUGCCUUUGAAACUGUCAGACUAGAGUGCAGGAGAGGUAAGUGGAAUUCCUAGUGUAGCGGUGAAAUGCGUAGAUAUUAGGAGGAACACCAGUGGCGAAGGCGGCUUACUGGACUGUAACUGACACUGAGGCUCGAAAGCGUGGGGAGCAAACAGGAUUAGAUACCCCUGUAGUC